rnacentral:misc_RNA from 1 species
GAUGAAGAACGUAGCGAAAUGCGAUAAGUAAUGUGAAUUGCAGAAUUCAGUGAAUCAUCGAAUCUUUGAACGCACAUUGCGCCCAUUAGUAUUCUAGUGGGCAUGCUUGUUCGAGCGUCAUUAAGUCCACUUAAGCCUAGCUUAGUGUUGGGAGACUGCUCCAGUGGUGCUACCCUGUAGCUACCCUGCAGCUCCUUAAAGACAGCGGCGGAGUCGUGUUAUCCUCUGAGCUUAGUAAAUCAUUCUAGCUUUCGAGAGUAUCACUUCACCUGCCGUUAAACCACCUAAUUUUUAUGGUUGACCUCGGAUCAGGUAGGAAUACCCGCUGAACUUAAGCAUAUCAAUAAGCGGAGGA